rnacentral:rRNA from 3 species
UUAACGACUCUCGGCAACGGAUAUCUCGGCUCUCGCAUCGAUGAAGAACGUAGCGAAAUGCGAUACUUGGUGUGAAUUGCAGAAUCCCGUGAACCAUCGAGUCUUUGAACGCAAGUUGCGCCCGAGUCCAUUUUUGGUCGAGGGCACGUCUGCCUGGGCGUCUCGC